GUCCUGUGGCCAGACCUAGGGCCGGAGGCCCCCUGACAUUUCAGGCCAUGUGGUUGGUGGGGAGGGCAGGGGUCUAAGUCUCUCUUCUGAGCCCUGGUGGGCCCCGUAGCUGCCAAGCCCUGCAGCCCCUGAGUCCCAUGGCUGGGCUGGGCUGGGCAGGGACGGGGGCACCGACGGUGGCUGUCCCGGCAGCUGGCCAGUUCCCACGGCUCAGCCUGCACUUCCACCUGCGGAGGAACCGCGGCGUGUACAUCAUCCAGUCCUACAUGCCCUCCGUCCUGCUGGUCGCCAUGUCCUGGGUCUCCUUCUGGAUCAGCCAGGCGGCGGUGCCCGCCAGAGUGUCUCUAGGCAUCACCACGGUGCUGACGAUGACCACGCUCAUGGUCAGUGCCCGCUCCUCCCUGCCGCGGGCGUCAGCCAUCAAGGCACUGGACGUCUACUUCUGGAUCUGCUAUGUCUUCGUGUUUGCCGCCCUGGUGGAGUACGCCUUUGCGCAUUUCAACGCCGACUACAGGAAGAAGCAGAAGGCCAAGGUCAAGGUCUCCAGGCCGAGGGCAGAGAUGGACGUGAGGAACGCCAUUGUCCUCUUCUCCCUCUCCGCUGCCGGCGUCACGCAGGAGCUGGCCAUCUCCCGCCGGCAGCGCCGCGUCCCGGGGAACCUGAUGGGCUCCUACAGGUCGGUGGGGGUGGAGACAGGGGAGACGAAGAAGGAGGGGGCGGCCCGCUCAGGAGGCCAGGGGGGCAUCCGUGCCCGGCUCAGGCCCAUCGACGCAGACACCAUUGACAUUUACGCCCGCGCUGUGUUCCCUGCGGCAUUUGCGGCUGUCAAUGUCAUCUACUGGGCGGCGUACGCCAUGUGAGCACCGGACUCAGGCCACCCUCGCUUGUCCUGGCGCCCGGCGGCGGCUGCCCAGAAACUUCCUGGGAGAAAGAGCCCUCGGGCUGCCUUCCCCUCUGCGUGUUUCGAAGUGGGAUGACAGUCGGCCACGGAAAACAAGAGGAAGCCUCGGCCUCCCUGAGCUCUGACCCCAGCCUCACCCGAAAGGCCAGCCUGGGGCUCUCCGGCAGGCAGCCCGAGACCUGCACAGAUGAAGGAGCAGAGGGUGUGACCGAGAGGCUGAGCCGGGCCGGGGUCUGGGCCCUUCAGGGAGCCGUGGAUUUUUAGGUUCAGAAAGUGAUCCUGGUUUCUAGGUCUUUGCUCUGCAGGAUCGGGAUCAGCGCGUGGGAGGAGGGGGAGUGGACAUCCAUCCGGUGAACAGUGAAGGCGUUUGUGAGGUCUUUCUGGUCCCAGCAU
rnacentral:sRNA from 1 species